GUAUUAUCUCAGAACAAUGAGUUAGUAUCUCAGAAUAAUGAGGUAGUAUCUUAGAAUAAUGAGGUAGUAUCUCAGAAUAAUGAGGUAGUAUCUCUGAAUAAUGAGGUAGUAUCUCAGAAUAAUGAGUUAGUAUCUGAGAAUAAGGAGGUAGUAUCUCAGACUAAUGAGGUAGUACCUCAGAAUAAUGAGGUAGUAUAUCUGAAUAAUGAGGUAGUAUCUCAGAAUAAUGAGUUAGAUUCUCAGAAAAAUUAGUUAGUUUCUCAGAAUAAUGAGGUAGUACCUCAGAAUAAUGAGUUAGUUUCUCAGAAUAAUGAGUUAGUUUCUCAGAAUAAUGAGGUAGUACCUCAGAAUAAUGAGUAAGUUUCUCAGAAU